UGCGUAGGUGGCAGGGUAAGUUUGAUGGGAAAUCUCCGGGCUUAACCCGGAAACUGCAUUGAAUACUAUCUUGCUCGAGGUUUGGAGGGGGGACUGGAAUUCUCGGUGUAGCAGUGAAAUGCGUAGAUAUCGAGAGGAACACCAGUGGCGAAGGCGAGUCCCUGGACAACACCUGACACUGAGGCACGAAAGCUAGGGGAGCAAACA
rnacentral:rRNA from 1 species